AGUGGCAGAAUCGUGAGUAAGAGAAGAGAACGUGCCUUUCGGUUCGGAACAACCCAGGGAAACUUGGGUUACUACCGGAUACGCCCAUACGGGGAAAGAUUUAUCGCCGAAAGAUCGGCCCGCGUCUGAUUAGCUAGUUGGUGGGGUAACGGCCCACCAAGGCGACGAUCAGUAGCUGGUCUGAGAGGAUGAUCAGCCUCACUGGGACUGAGACACGGCCCAGACUCCUACGGGAGGCAGCAGUGGG
rnacentral:rRNA from 1 species